AGAUACGAGAAAAGGAUUUAAUGAAUAUAAGAAUACGAACAUAAGAAUAUUCACUGUGAUAUUCUUAGUAACAGAAGAAAACUUACAAUAGCCUUAAGUGUUCAUCAAUAGAUUGCUGGCUACCCAAAUUAUGAGUUAUCUAGGUAGCGAUAUUUUACACAAAUAUUUGAAAUACAACAUUAAUCUAUGUAUUGACAUGAAAAAAUGACCACAAUUUAGUAAGUUAAAAGAAAGCUGCUUAACAGUAUGAUUUCCUUUGAGUAAAAAUACUCAUCACACUAUUAGUGACAGCUACCUCUGGAAAGUCAGACGGGCUACUUUUUUACUUUACUCAGUUCCAUACUACUUGAAUUUUUAAAUGGAAAUAGAUUAUCUUUGAAACUUAAAAAUUAAAGAGAAGCUGUUCAGCUAUGGCCACCUGAGAAACUUUUUUCUCUAAAGCCAAUAGUAAGCAGAACCCAGGAAGCGGCUAGCUAUUGCCCUGCUUGUCAUAGUGCUCCAACACAGCGCUUGGCACACUGUCGGUGCUCAGGAAAUAUUCUGAGAAUGAAUAAGGAUGGCUAACCCUGGUCACUCUUUAGUAAAAUGAGAUGGAGGGACAUCAGUACACUCAGACUUUUUAACCCUAAAAUCUGAGUGAGUGGGUCAACGACGAAGAGCUUAAAAUGACCACAUCGAUAGGGCUGAUUUAUAUUAAAGAACGACUGGCUAUGUGAAUGUUAGCUCACCAAAAAAUAACUUGGGGAUUCUCUUUGCAAUGGACAAGGAUUCUUAAUGAGUCCCCACCACAUGUUUCUUUGAGUGUCUCUUACAGCAUUUAUCUGUUGGUUUACACCUACUGGGACAAUGCUUCCACUUUAUCCUGGGUAAUUCUUUCCUGAGCCCUAACUACCAGAAAGUUCCUUAUUGCACUGAACUGGAUUCUGCCUCUCAUAAAACUGACCCACAGACCCCAGCUCUGCCCCUAGCAUCACACACAACGUAUCUAAGCAGCUCUGCACAGUGGUUUAAGAGAAGGGGCUCUGUGAGGCCCGCCUGCAACCCCAGCUUCCACAAGUG
rnacentral:lncRNA from 1 species